ensembl:lncRNA
ACACACACACCCCCACUCAUCAUCAUCUUUAAACACACACACACACACCCACUCAUCUUCAUCUUUAAACACACACACACACACUCAUCUUCACACAGUCUAUCAGCAUAAACACACACACCCACACCCACUCAUCUUCACACAGUCUAUCAGCGUAAACACACACAUCAGUAAUAAUGCAGAGGUCAGAGGUCACCCAGAGGUCAGUCAGAGGUCACCACGGGGCUCUGAUAGCUGUUCAUGCUCUCGGCCCCCCCCCCCACACAUAUGACUCCGCCCAUCCUCACAUGACCCCGCCCCUCUCUGGCCUCAAGCCUUUGUUCCCAUGACAACCCCAGAAGGCUCAGAGCCAAGUAAUAGUGUGUUCAGGCCUCGGCGAUGGGACCGUAACGCUGACACACACACACACAUUAACGGGACCGCUAUUCCACAUACACACAUUCAAGGGACUGCUAUUCCACACACACACACACACACACACAUUGAGGGGACCGCUAUUCCACACACACACACACACACACACACAUUGAGGGGACUGCUAUUACACACACACACACACACAUUAAGGGGACCGCUAUUCCACACACACACACACACACACAUUAAGGGGACCGCUAUGACACAGACACACCACAAGUCAAUAUGAUCUUAUGAAAUUAUUUGUAUUAAAAACAUGAUAAUUGCACUAGCUUCAGUUUUGAAUGAGGCUUGUUGGCAACUUGCUAACUUAACUCCCAAAGUGUAUGUACUUAUUACCCCUGUGCAUUUAUCUACCUCCGCAGUAACCCCAGCAACGCUCCAAUGUGUCAUUGAUCACCCAUAACAUUACACACACACACACACAGGGAACCAUUCCUGAACGCCUCCAAACACUGUUACUAGAUCUCUCCGCCAUGUUAUGGCAGACUCCUGGUCUCUCACUGCAGACACUAAACACGCUUUGUUCUCUGAACUGGCACACACCUCAUUUUGAAUUGGUUGCUAGUUGCCAUCGAUUCGCAUCAUAGCCCGUUACAAUAACGACUUCAACUUUAUACUGACACCCAUGUUGGGGUUCCAGUUCAUGCUGCCGCUCUCCACGGAGACGCCCAGAUCGCCACGGAGACGCCCAGACCGCACUGAACACGCCGCUCGCCACGGAGACUCCCAGACCGCACUGGACGCGGCGCUCACAUGCUGCCGCUCGCCACGGAGACGCUGACUCAAAUAGAACAACGACUUACAGCCAUUUUAACGAUCUCAUCACCCAUGGUUUGAAAGCUCUAGAACCCUUAGGAUAUAUGUUGCUGUGUGACGUUCCCAAGGUUAAAGUGUGUAACGUUCCCAAGGUUAAAGUGUGUAACGUUCCCAAGGUUAAAGUGUGUAACGUUCAAAAAGUUUAAAUGUUUUGAACACCCAGUCUGGCUUUGCUGUGUGAUGACUAAUUAACCCUAGAACUGCAGUCUGCAGACGCAUGGCCUGAUGGGUUAAGGUCUGUGUUAAGGUCUGUGUGUGUGUGUGUGUUAAGGUCUGUGUGUGUGUGUGUUAGGGUCUGUGUGUUAAGGUCUGUGUGAAAGGGACUAGGCUCUGAACUACUCCAGGCAUGAUGUGAUAGGCAGUCUGUGUGUGAUGUGUGUGUGUGAUGUGAUAGGCAGUCUGUGUGUGAUGUGUGUGUGUGUGUGAUGUGAUAGACAAUCUGUGUGUGAUGUGUGUGUGUGUGAUGUGAUAGGCAAUCUGUGUGUGAUGUGUGUGUGUGUGUGUGUGAUGCGAUAGACAGUCUGUGUGUGAUGUGAUGCUAUGUUGAGUAUUCUAGGUGUGUCAUGUGAUACUUCUACUCACUAAUCUACUCAUCCAAAGUGUGAGUGUGUGUGUGUGUGUUUGAGACAUGUGUGUAAGACCAUGCAUGCUUGUGUGUGUAUGUGCAAGUUUUUUAUGAAUGUAUGAGUGUGUGUUUAUAUUUAGUUGUGUAUGUGUGUAUGUGUGGUUAUGUUUGUGUGUUUAUAUAUGGUUGUGUAGGUGUGUAUGUAUGGUUAUUUGUGUUAGUGUGUGUGUGUGUGCGUUUGUGUGUGUGUGUGUGAGUCUGUGUGCUGCACAAUCAUCCUCAUGACUGUAGUUCUAGUUCCAGAACGACACCAGGGGUGUUUCUCAAAGUCAGGGAGGGAUCCUCGACGGCUGCGUCUCAGGGGUGCUACGUCUCAGGGGUGCUACCUCAUCGAAUCCCACCAAAGGACUGUUCCGACGUCUAGGUCCGUAUGUCGAAUUUGACCACGAACCGAGUCCUUAGUUCAGAGAGUUUUAUAGGAUGCAGUUGGAGUGUCCCCUGCGUUCUUAAAGCACCCACAAUCCUCUGCGUUCUUAAAGCACCCACAAUCCUCUGCGUUCUUAAAGCACCCACAAUCCUCUGCGUUCCUAAAACACCCACAAUCCUAUGCGUUCCUAAAGCACCCACAAUCCUCUGCGUUCUUAAAACACCCACAAUCCUCUGCGUUCCUAAAGCACCCACAAUCCUCUGCGUUCCUAA